AUGGCAUUCCAGAUGUGGACAACAUCUCUCGUGAUGCUUUGCCAGCAAUAUGGUUUAUAGUCCACGACAUCUGAAUUUCUGAAGGUUGCCUACCACUGCAAUAUGGCAAACGUGCCAUUUUGAGCAUGCGUUUAAUGCAGGAGCAGUAAGGGAAGAGGACUAUCAUGAGGCUAUUUAUAUGGGUUACAGGAGGGGAAUUUUUUCUUCUUAAAAGUAAAGCAAUUGUAAUGUCAUUGCCUUAGAACAGCAAAACUCAGGUACAAAC